CAGGAGUUCAAAGUUUUCCCAUGGAAGGAACAAAGUGCUGCUGUCAAAAUUUAUGUUUCUAGCUUUGCUCAGUGCCUAAGACUUUCUUUAUGACAUUUCCCAAGUGGCAUUUGACCCCAUACUAAGGAGAGAGGAUGACCCCCUCCCAGUGCUGGAUACAUGAAGACCUUCUUCUGUCCAACAGCUCCCAGGAGGCACAGACUGCUCCAGAGGAGAGAUGCUGUUGCCUCUUAGUCUGAGCUGCUUUUCAACU